rnacentral:sRNA from 1 species
AAUAGUGUUCGCAAUAUUAGGGCGGUCGGCUAUAUCCCCAAAAGAAAGGGGGUGUGGCCUAUAGAACUUUACCAUAUCCUAAUGAUGUUGUUUUCAGCAGGUAUGUUCCUUGUUGGUUUGUUAGGUUUUGUGGUGAAGCUUAUUAUCGAGUUAACGAAAGACCAAAAUAAAUAGACCCCCUAAUAUUGGCGUAUCGGGCGAGGUCUAUUUAUUGCAAUAGGCUGAUCCCCUUGAGGGAACACUAUUUUGGGCGAUCGUAGUUGCUACGGUCG